UGAGGAAUAUUGGUCAAUGGGCGCGAGCCUGAACCAGCCAAGUAGCGUGAAGGAUGAAGGUCCUAUGGAUUGUAAACUUCUUUUAUAGCAGAAUAAAGUGACCCACGUGUGGGUUUUUGUAUGUAUGCUAUGAAUAAGGAUCGGCUAACUCCGUGCCAGCAGCCGCGGUAAUACGGAGGAUCCGAGCGUUAUCCGGAUUUAUUGGGUUUAAAAGGUGCGUAGGCGGAAAGAUAAGUCAGCCUGUGAAAGUUUGCGGCUCAACCGUAAAAUUGCAGUUGAUACUGUUUUUCUUGAGUGUACAUAAGGUAGGCGGAAUUCGUGGUGUAGCGGUGAAAUGCUUAGAUAUCACGAAGAACUCCGAUUGCGAAGGCAGCUUACCGGGGUACAACUGACGCUGAUGCACGAAAGUGUGGGUAUCAAACA
rnacentral:rRNA from 1 species